GAUGAACGCUGGCGGCGUGCUUAACACAUGCAAGUCGAACGAAGCACUUUAUUUGAUUUCCUUCGGGACUGAUUAUUUUGUGACUGAGUGGCGGACGGGUGAGUAACGCGUGGGUAACCUGCCUUGUACAGGGGGAUAACAGUUGGAAACGGCUGCUAAUACCGCAUAAGCGCACGGCAUCGCAUGAUGCAGUGUGAAAAACUCCGGUGGUAUAAGAUGGACCCGCGUUGGAUUAGCUAGUUGGUGAGGUAACGGCCCACCAAGGCGACGAUCCAUAGCCGACCUGAGAGGGUGACCGGCCACAUUGGGACUGAGACACGGCCAAAACUCCUACGGGAGGCAGCAGUGGGGAAUAUUGCACAAUGGGCGAAAGACUGAUGCAGCGACGCCGCGUGAGCGAAGAAGUAUUUCGGUAUGUAAAGCUCUAUCAGCAGGGAAGAUAAUGACGGUACCUGACGAAGAAGCACCGGCUAAAUACGUG
rnacentral:rRNA from 1 species